rnacentral:rRNA from 1 species
AACGAACGCUGGCGGCGCGCUUAACACAUGCAAGUCGAACGAGAAGGCGUAGCAAUACGCUUGUACAGUGGCGAACGGGUGAGUAAUACGUGGGCGACCUACCCUCGAGUGGGGAAUAACCCGCCGAAAGGCGGGCUAAUGCCGCGUACGCUUCCAUCUUUAUGGAGGUGGAAGGAAAGCCGUGCCGUGGGCACGGCGCGUCAAGGAUGGGCUCACGUCCUAUCAGCUUGUUGGAGGGUAACGGCCUACCAAGGCUCCGACGGGUAGCUGGUCUGAGAGGACGAUCAGCCACACUGGCACUGCGA